AACGAACGCUGGCGGCAUGCCUAACACAUGCAAGUCGAGCGCCCGCCGUAGCAAUACGGAGGGAGCGGCGCACGGGUGAGUAACGCGUGGGAACCUGCCCUGAGGUUCGGAACAACCGCGGGAAACUGCGGCUGAUACCGGAUGAUCCCCCUGGGUAACACUUGGGGCAAAGAUUUAUCGCCUUGGGAGGGGCCCGCGUCCGAUUAGGUAGUUGGCGGGGUAACGGCCCACCAAGCCUGUGANCGGUAGCUGGUCUGAGAGGAUGAUCAGCCACACUGGGACUGAGACACGGCCCAGACUCCUACGGGAGGCAGCAGUGGGGAGUAUUGGAC
rnacentral:rRNA from 1 species